CCCGCAACGAGCGCAACCCUUAUCCUUUGUUGCCAGCGCGUCAUGGCGGGAACUCAAAGGAGACUGCCGGUGAUAAACCGGAGGAAGGUGGGGAUGACGUCAAGUCAUCAUGGCCCUUACGAGUAGGGCUACACACGUGCUACAAUGGCAUAUACAAAGAGAAGCGAACUCGCGAGAGCAAGCGGACCUCAUAAAGUAUGUCGUAGUCCGGAUUGGAGUC
rnacentral:rRNA from 1 species